rnacentral:rRNA from 1 species
AAUUUUUAGUCUUUUCGAAUUGUCCCAUUCUCUUGUAGAAUGUUGUGACGAUUCUUGAGGCUUUCCUGGUAGAAAAUAUUUCUUUCCUUAACCGGUUGGUUAUAUAAUCUACCUCUUUUACUGUGAGAAAAACAAAGUGCUCAAAGCAAGCUUUACAGCUUGAAUGCGUUAGCAUGGAAUAAUAAGAUAGGACUUUGAUUCUAUUUUGUUGGCUCUGAGAAACAAAGUAAUGAUUGAUAGGGAUAGUUGGGGGUGCUCGUAUUUAACGGUCAGCGGUGAAAUGCAUGGACCCGUUAAAGACGAACUUAUGCGAAAGCAUU